AGCUCUCCUUUGCCAUUUGGCUGAGAUCAAGAUGCAGUAACUGUUCUUCUUAGUUUAAUCUCUAGGACGUGCCUACGGGUACUUUAGUGAUUAAACCAGUUUUUGAAACCCGAUUGGCGGCCGCUGAACUCCGUUCAUGUCGCUGGUCACAGUGUCGCCAGUAUUGCACUGUCUCUGGCUGACGCAAAUCCCU
rnacentral:snRNA from 1 species